AGCAGUAGCCACGGUAAUACGAAGGGGGCUAGCGUUGUUCGGAAUUACUGGGCGUAAAGCGCACGUAGGCGGACAUUUAAGUCAGGGGUGAAAUCCCGGGGCUCAACCCCGGAACUGCCUUUGAUACUGGGUGUCUAGAGUAUGGAAGAGGUGAGUGGAAUUCCGAGUGUAGAGGUGAAAUUCGUAGAUAUUCGGAGGAACACCAGUGGCGAAGGCGGCUCACUGGUCCAUUACUGACGCUGAGGUGCGAAAGCGUGGGGAGCAAACAGGAUUAGAUACCCCGGUAGUCCCUGUCUCUUAUAC
rnacentral:rRNA from 1 species